rnacentral:rRNA from 1 species
UACGAGGGGGGCAAGCGUUGUUCGGAAUUUUUGGGCGUAAAGGGCGCGUAGGCGGUGCGGUAAGUCACCUGUGAAAGCCCCGGGCUCAACCUGGGAAUGGCGAUGGAUACUGGCGGGCUAGAGUGCGGUAGAGGAGAGUGGAAUUCCCGGUGUAGCAGUGAAAUGCGUAGAGAUCGGGAGGAACAUCAGUUGCGAAGGCGGCUCUCUGGACCAGCACUGACACUGAGGCACGAAAGCGUGGGGAGCAAACAGG